UACGGAGGGUGCAAGCGUUAAUCGGAAUUACUGGCGUAAAGCGCACGUAGGUGGUUUGCUAAGUCAGCUGUGAAAUCCCCGGGCUCAACCUGGGCACUGCAGUUGAAACUGGCAAGCUAGAGUAGGGUAGAGGGGUGUGGAAUUCCAGGUGUAGCGGUGAAAUGCGUAGAUAUCUGGAGGAACAUCAGUGGCGAAGGCGACACCCUGGACUCAUACUGACACUGAGGUGCGAAAGCGUGGGGAGCAAACAGG
rnacentral:rRNA from 1 species